rnacentral:rRNA from 1 species
AAUUAUAAUUAUUAAUUUUUAAUUAGAAGUGAAAUAUUAAUCAAUUUUAAAUAUAUCUAGUUUUUUUAAAAUUGAAUUAAAUUCAGCUUUAAAAUUUUAUAUAAAUUAAUUUAAUUUUAUUAUAUAAAAAAUUUAUUUUAAAGUAAAUGUAAUCGGGAUAAAUUGAUUAUAUUAAUUUAUAAAUUAAUUUUAUUUGAUAAAUAAUAUAAAUAAUAUUAAAAUUAUAUAUUUUUAAAAAUAAUGUUUUAAUUUAUAUUUUAAAUUUAAAAAAAAAUUAAAAAAUUUUUGAUUUUAAUAAUUUAUAAAAAUUUAUUAUUUAAUAUUUAUUUAUUAAAAAUAAUGAUUAUAUUAGUAAAAUUAUUAUUGUUGUUUAAUUAUUUAUUAAAUGAAUAAAUAAAUUUAAGGAAUUAGGCAAAAAUUUUAAUAUUUAUAAAAUUUAUAUUUACCUGUUUAUCAAAAACAUGGCUUAUUGAUUUAAAUAAUAAGUUUGUUCUGCCCAUUGAAUUUAUAAUUUAAAAGGCUGCAGUAUAAUGACUGUACAAAGGUAGCAAAAUCAAUAGUUUUUUAAUUGAAAACUGGAAUGAAUGAAUUAAUAAAAUAUAAACUGUCUCAAAUUUAAUAUAUUAUUGAAUUUAAAAUAAAAGUUAAAAUGCUUUUAUAAAUUUAUUAGACGAUAAGACCCUAAGAAUUUAAUUUAUUUAAUUUAAUAAGAAAUUUUAUAAUUAUAUUAUAUAUAUAUAUAUAUUAAUAAAUUAAAUAAAUUUUAUUGGGAGGGUAAUUAAAUUUUUAAACUUUAAUUAUUAAAUUA